rnacentral:rRNA from 1 species
UACAGAGGGGGCAAGCGUUGUUCGGAAUUACUGGGCGUAAAGGGCGCGUAGGCGGCCUGCUAAGUCGAACGUGAAAUCCCCGGGCUCAACCCGGGAACUGCGUCCGAUACUGACAGGCUUGAAUCCGGGAGAGGGAUGUGGAAUUCCAGGUGUAGCGGUGAAAUGCGUAGAUAUCUGGAGGAACACCGGUGGCGAAGGCGGCAUCCUGGACCGGUACCGACGUUCAGGCACGAAAGCGUGGGGAGCAAACAGG